rnacentral:rRNA from 1 species
AACGAACGCUGGCGGCAUGCCUAACACAUGCAAGUCGAACGAGACCUUCGGGUCUAGUGGCGCACGGGUGCGUAACGCGUGGGAACCUGCCCUUAGGUUCGGAAUAACUCCCCGAAAGGGGUGCUAAUACCGGAUAAUUUCUUCGGACCAAAGAUUUAUCGCCUUUGGAUGGGCCCGCGUUGGAUUAGCUAGUUGGUAGGGUAAAAGCCUACCAAGGCGACGAUCCAUAGCUGGUCUGAGAGGAUGAUCAGCCACACUGGGACUGAGACACGGCCCAGACUCCUACGGGAGGCAGCAGUGGGGAAUAUUGGACAAUGGGCGAAAGCCUGAUUCAGCAAUGCCGCGUGAGUGAUGAAGGCCUUAGGGUUGUAAAGCUCUUUUACCCGGGAUGAUAAUGACAGUACCGGGAGAAUAAGCUCCGGCUAACUCCGUG